UACGGGGGGGGCAAGCGUUGUUCGGAAUUACUGGGCGUAAAGGGCUCGUAGGUGGCCAACUAAGUCACACGUGAAAUCCCUCGGCUUAACCGGGGAACUGCGUGUGAUACUGGAUGGCUUGAGUUUGGGAGAGGGAUGCGGAAUUCCAGGUGUAGCGGUGAAAUGCGUAGAUAUCAGGAGGAACACCUGCGGUGUAGACGGCUUACUGGACCAUAACUGACGCUGAGGCACGAAAGCGUGGGUAGCAAACAGG
rnacentral:rRNA from 1 species